rnacentral:rRNA from 1 species
AGUGAACGCUGGCGGCAGGCCUAAUACAUGCAAGUCGAACGGCAGCACAGCAGAGCUUGCUCUGUGGGUGGCGAGUGGCGGACGGGUGAGGAAUACAUGGGAAUCUGCCCAGUCGUGGGGGAUAACGUAUGGAAACGUACGCUAAUACCGCAUGCGCCCUACGGGGGAAAGUCGGGGACCGCAAGGCCUGGCGCGAUUGGAUGAGCCCAUGUUCGAUUAGCUAGUUGGCGGGGUAAAGGCCCACCAAGGCGACGAUCGAUAGCUGGUCUGAGAGGAUGAUCAGCCACACUGGAACUGAGACACGGUCCAGACUCCUACGGGAGGCAGCAGUAGGGAAUAUUGGACAAUGGGGGCAACCCUGAUCCAGCCAUGCCGCGUGAGUGAAGAAGGCCCUCGGGUUGUAAAGCUCUUUUGUCCGGAAGAAAGCAAUCGGUUAAUACCCGGUUGUUCUGACGGUACCGGAGAAUAAGCACCGGCUAACUUCGUGCC